GGUAUUUUGACUGUGCUAAGGUAGCAUAAUCAUUUGUUAUUUAAUUGAUAACUGGCAUGAAAGGUUUAACUAAUUUAUUAAGUUUGUGGGAUUAAAUAGAAAAUUAAAGUUAAGGUAAGAAUUCUUUAAUUUUCUAGGGGACGAUAAGACCCUAGAAGCUUGAUAAAUAGAACUCUUUUUGUUUUAGAAGUUUAUUUAUUUUACUGGGGCGGUAAAAUUAAUUAAUCUAUUUAAGAUUUGGGGGAUCCUUUAAAUAAAGAAAAAACGGAGAAGUUACUCUAGGGAUAACAGUACAAUAUUUUUGGAUAGGCCUUAUUGAUAAAAAUGUUUGUAACCUCGAUGUUGAAUUAAGAUAUCUCUAUAAAGCAGAAAGUAUAGAAGAAGGUUGUUCAACC
rnacentral:rRNA from 1 species